rnacentral:rRNA from 1 species
GAUGAACGCUGGCGGCGUGCCUAAUACAUGCAAGUCGAGCGAACAGACGAGGAGCUUGCUCCUCUGACGUUAGCGGCGGACGGGUGAGUAACACGUGGAUAACCUACCUAUAAGACUGGGAUAACUUCGGGAAACCGGAGCUAAUACCGGAUAAUAUAUUGAACCGCAUGGUUCAAUAGUGAAAGACGGUUUUGCUGUCACUUAUAGAUGGAUCCGCGCCGCAUUAGCUAGUUGGUAAGGUAACGGCUUACCAAGGCAACGAUGCUUAGCCGACCUGAGAGGGUGAUCGGCCACACUGGAACUGAGACACGGUCCAGACUCCUACGGGAGGCAGCAGUAGGGAAUCUUCCGCAAUGGGCGAAAGCCUGACGGAGCAACGCCGCGUGAGUGAUGAAGGUCUUCGGAUCGUAAAACUCUGUUAUUAGGGAAGAACAAAUGUGUAAGUAACUAUGCACGUCUUGGCGGUACCUAAUCAGAAAGCCACGGCUAACUACGUG